CAGGGUCCAGCCCAGGAGUAUGUGUGGUCAUAAACUGUCCUGUAUCUUUUGUGUCUUUUUUUUUUGUAGGUGUUUUUUUAAAAACAUUUUUAAUAAGGUAUAGUUGAUUUACAAUGUCCCUUCAAUUUCUGCUGUAUGGCAAAGUGACCCAGUCACACACAUGUAUACAUUCUUUUUCUCAUGUUAUCUUCUGUCGCAUUCUGUCACAAGUGAUUGACUAUAGUUCCCUGUGCUGUACAGUAGGACCUCAUUGCUUAUCCAUUCCAAAUGCCAUAGUUUGCAUCUCCUAACCCCAAACUCACAGUUCAUCCCACCCCUUCCCCCUUCCCCUGGCAAACACAGAUCUGUUCUCCAUGUCCGUGAUCUCUUUCUAUUUUGUAGAUAGGAUCAUCCGUGCCAUAUUUUAGAUUCCACAUUAUAAGAGAUAUCAUAUGAUAUUUGUCUUUCUCUUUCUGACUUACCUCACUUAAUAUGGGAAUCUCUGGUUGCACCCAUGUUGCUGCAAAUGACAUGAUUUUGUUCUUUUUUAUGGCUGAGUAGUAUUCCACUCUGUGUGUGUGUGUGUGUGUGUGUGUGUGUGUGUGUGUGUGUAUCUAUAUAUAUAUCACAGCUUUAUCAAAACUACAGUGAGGAACUACCUCACACCAGUCAGAAUGGCCAUCAUUAACAAAUCAACAAAUAACAAAUGCUGGAGAGGGCGUGGAGAAAAGGGGACCCCCUUCCACUGUUGGUGGGAAUGUCAACUGGUACAACCACUAUGGAAAACAGUAUGGAGGUUCCUCAGAAAACUAAAUCUAGAACUGCCAUAUGAUCCAGCAAUCCCACUCCUGGGCAUAUAUCUGGACAAAACUUUUAUUCAUAAAGAUCCAUGCACCCCUCUGUUCACUGCAGCACUGUUCACAGCAGCCGAGACAUGGAAACAGCCCAUUACCAUGGAAACGUACCUCACUUUGGGCUCGUCUGAUGUUUCCUCCUGAUUUGAUUCAGGGUGCGUGCUUUGGGCAGGAACCUGUGAAAGGCACGCUGUGUUCUCUUUGGGGUGUUGUGCCGGGAAGCAUGGCUACUGAUUCACCUCGUUACUGGCUUGCUCAGUUGGGUAACAGAGGUCUUCACAGCAAGGUUCCCAUUUUUCCCUUUUUAAGUAUUACUACCUCCUGGGGAGACGUUUUGAGACUAUGUAAAGAUUCUGUUUCCUCUUUCAUUUUUACUGCACUGGUUUUAACAUCUAUGGAUGAUUCUUGCCUGUAUCUGUUAUUACUAUGAUGGUUGCCAAAUGGUAGCACUUAACUUUUUAAGCUCCUUUAUUCAGUACGUUGCUAUUAGUCUGUAAAGAUAGAGUAUCGCUAGUCCUCAUCUCGAGUCUGGGAUCACACGCAUGCCUUGGGGUUCUUAUCUCCUUAGGGCCUCACAUCUCCCGCAGUAGAUGCAUUGCAUCCACGUUUAAUAGAUGAGGGAACUGUGUAGCCGAAAACCAGUUGGCAGCAUUUGCAGGAAGAAAAUAUUAAAAAUUGAUCUUUAAAAUAUCAUCAGGGAUACUCACAGUAAGAUAAUAGAGUGAAGCAUACAAAUUACCAAAAAAAGAGUUAGAAAGGAGAGAAACUAGAAUCAUAUAUAACAUUGUGCUGUAUGUUUAAAAUUUGUGUGUGGAGGCCACAGAAAGAGAUCAGCCCUCCUGACCUGCACAUUGAGCAAGGUGUGCAGAGGAUGGGACCUGAGAUGUCUUAUUACCAUCACAGACACCAAAGGAGAGACAUGGACAAUGCCUGAGAACUGAACUUCAGCGUUGUUCUUUUCUCAGUUCAACAGAAAGAUGGAAAGGGAAGGCAGAAUAAUGAGAGGUAUCCAAAGCUCACCUUGACCUCAGCACACGGUGGAGAUUUAGCAGGGUGGGGACAAAAGAGGAAAGGAGACUUGGCUCUCCAGGUGGCAGGAGCCGGGAUGGAGGACAGGAGUCCCUGUGGGAGGCGCUCUCUCUCACUGUGGAUAUAACUUGGCAUCUCAUGCUGCAUCUUCCCAUCUUGUUUUCCCACUGAGAACAGUCCUGGGAGGCUGCCUGGAGGGGGCUGAGGUGGUGCCUGGAGUGGAUCCUGUAUCUUGUGGCUCCACUGAGCUGGGGACCCAUCCAGUGCCUCUUAAGAUGUAGAUUAAUCCUUAAUAUAAGUUCAGGAUUUUUAGAUACUGAAUCCCAGCCCACCAGCCACACACACCCCAAACUAAGGGGACAGCUCUUCUCACCCUCCUCGAUGCUGCUGCUAGCAAACCUCAGCUCUCAGGAGAUAACCAGCUAGCAAACCACAGCUCUCAGGAGCAGGUGGACAGGUAUCAGAGCCGGCAAACCAUCUUAGAAAGACAAAAGGUCUUGACAAAACUAUAAUUCAGAAAGAUGCAUGCACCCCUACAUUCAUGACAGCACAGUUCACAAUAGCCAAGACAUGGAAGCAACAUAAGUGCCCAUCGAAAUAAUGUCAUUUGCAGCAACGUGGAUGCAACCAGAGGUUAUCAUAUUAAGUCAGAAAGAGAAUCAUAUGAUAUCACUUGUAUGUGGAAUCUAAUAUGUGGCACAAAUGCAUCUCUCUACAGGACAGAACAGACUUACGUAGAGUACAGACUUGUGGUUGCCAAGGGGGAGGGGCAGCGUGGGAUGCACUGGAGUUUGGAGUCAGUAGAUGCAAACUAUUAUUAAUAUUUCCUAAGAGAUACACUCAUGAAACAAGACAUUUGGAGAACAAAAGAACUCUUGGAAAUAAAAAAAAAAUCAUGAUAGCAACAUUAAAACACUCACAUAAGGGGGAUUGAGAGAGAAGUUGGCGUGAAUGAGACUGUGGCCUUAAUCUGUGAUGGUUAAACUAUCGCAUUUUGUGAAAUGUCACAAAAUCGCAUUAGCGUGUCUAUCAGCAGGACUUGCCCAGGGUGGGAAAGGAGACUUGCUAAGGGAGGAGGCUUGAAGUACAAACUCCAUCAUCUGUAAACCCACCUCUGAUGGUAAUUCACCAUCAUGGCCAACAUGCUUGUGCACCGUGCCUGCUAUGCCCUUCACCUCUAUGAUCCUGUUUGACCUGCUUGCCUAGACGCGGGAGGCCCCAUCACCCACUUUUUUCCUGCUAGGAAAGGGGAGCAAGUGGGGUGGUUGAUGUUUAAUACAGAGCCUGUGCUCUUAGCGGCUAUGCUGGUUUGCUUCUCCAGGAAAACACAAGGUUGGUAAAUAGAGAAACCAUCCUAGUUGCUGCCUUUCUCAACCGAAUGGCCAGCCUCAUCAGUGGUCCUAGUCCGACCGUUCGUAUGGGGAAAAUGAUGGUGAAGUUAUCUUGGAGGAGGGGUGAGAGGAAGAAGGGGGCUGCAUCUUAAAUCCCAAGUAGUCAAUAGAUGAAACCAAAAUCGAGUCAAGCAGAUUAUUUAAAAAUAUGGAGAGUUCUCUGGUGGAUCAGUGGGUUAAGAAUCCAACAUUGUCACUGGAUUGUCAUAGUGCAGGUUCAACCCCUGGCUCAGGAACUUCUGCAUGCCAAGGGUGCGGCUAAAAAAAAAAGUAUGGGGUUGGAAGCAAGAAUUAACUAGAAGAAGGCAAAGUGGUAGCAUCUGAGGAAGGGCAAGAGAAGAUACGAGGAUUUAAAAAAAAAUGAAACUUCCAGACAUUUUAGACUGUGUAUAUGUGCAAUUUUGAUGCAAAUAAGAUAAUUUAGAUUUUUUGAACAAAAUGAGACUUAGGCUGUUAUUAGAUGAAAUGAGAUAUUAAUCAAGUUGAUUAACAAAUAUGCAUAAUUAAUUUGAUGGAAAUAGAGAGUGGUAAGAAAACAAACAAGAUCUAAAAAUGCUGUGGCAGACUCAGAAAUGCAUGAGCAUAACCAUGAAGCAGAAUGGCAGUUUCUUUGAAAAUUGAACGGGUGACUGAGCAGAUAUCUGGAACGAUUCCUCCAUUGAAUGCAGAGGAAAUGGGAAAUGGAAGUGAUUAGCCAAAUAAGAUGAAAACGGAGGGCAGGCGAUGCUGAUGCAAAAUAGGAACAAUGCUACGAAAUGUAAUAGAGGAAAACUUUCCACAGCCGAGGGAGGACUCAGGACAGAGAGAUGGAAUCGUGCUGGUCUCAGGCUUCCCAGCACGGUUCGAGGAAAAGGCAGUGAAGGAAAUUUUAAAGGGAAGUGCAGGUCAGGAAUUUAACACCCAGCCAAGAGGCUGUUCAUGUGAUUCUCCUAUGAAUAAACUGUCUUAAAAGUCCAUGAACUAAGGAUGUUCGUUGUUGGAGAAAGCCUUUGAGGACAGAGGUCAGCCACUGAGACUGGGGCGAAGGGACCUGGGAUGGACUGCCCACCCCUCUAAAGGCAGAGCCGAGGCGAGCCUGCUGUAAAGACCGCAGUAAAACAGAGGUGUUUUCAGCUCAGAUCCAUGCACGGCUAUUAUUCAUAAGGAUGGAGAGCUUGGAGGAGGGGAGGAGAGAAGAAGGGAGAUAAGGGAGGGAUGUCUGCAUUGUUCAUUCAAGGAGAUUGUCGGUCCUGAUCAAAACUGAUACCUCGAUGCGAUGGAGCCAAUAGCCACAGAUGAUCACACUUGUGUGCCAUUUAAAGAUCCUUGGUCACCCCCGAAGAAUCAAAUCGGAGGCUCUUUUCAGCAGUCACUGAGUGUGGUUUCUGCCAGGAGGGCAGCCUGUUCCCUCCACCCCAGCGCCUCUGUCCUUGGGGAUUUACAGUUUGUAAUUUAUGGGGCAUAAUUGUUUCCUGUUUGGGUUGUGGAUGUGUAGGUGCCUUAAAACCAUGUUAAGAGUUAGAUUUUGUUCACCGUUUUCUUUCUGUUUGUGCCCAUUUUGUGUUAUGUGCA
rnacentral:lncRNA from 1 species